UKGGMRGGCCWAMMMAUGCAAGUCGAGCGGAUGACGGGAGCUUGSUCCUUGAUUCRGCGGCGGACGGGUGAGUAAUGCCURGGARUCUGCCUGGUAGUGGGGGACAACGUUUCGAARGGAACGCUAAUACCGCAUACGUCCUACGGGAGAAAGCAGGGGACCUUCGGGCCUUGCGCUAUCMGAUGARCCUAGGUCGGAUUARCUAGUUGGUGAGGUAAUGGCUCACCAAGGCGACGAUCCGUAACUGGUCUGAGAGGAUGAUCARUCACACUGGAACUGAGACACGGUCCAGACUCCUACGGGAGGCAGCAGUGGGGAAUAUUGGACAAUGGGCGAAAGCCUGAUCCAGCCAUGCCGCGUGUGUGAAGAAGGUCUUCGGAUUGUAAAGCACUUUAAGUUGGGAGGAAGGGCAGUAAGUUAAUACCUUGCUGUUUUGACGUUACCGACAGAAUAAGCACCGGCUAACUCUGUGCCAGCAGCCGCGGUAAUACAGAGGGUGCAAGCGUUAAUCGGAAUUACUGGGCGUAAAGCGCGCGUAGGUGGUUCGUUAAGUUGGAUGUGAAAGCCCCGGGCUCAACCUGGGAACUGCAUCCAAAACUGGCGAGCUAGAGUAUGGUAGAGGGUGGUGGAAUUUCCUGUGUAGCGGUGAAAUGCGUAGAUAUAGGAAGGAACACCAGUGGCGAAGGCGACCACCUGGACUGAUACUGACACUGAKGUGCGAAAGCGUGGGGAGCAAACAGGAUUAGAUACCCUGGUAGUCCACGCCGUAAACGAUGUCAACUAGCCGUUGGAAUCCUUGAGAUUUUUAGUGGCGCAGCUAACGCAUUAAGUUGACCGCCUGSGGAGUACGGCCGCAAGGUUAAACUCAAUGAGUUGACGGGGGCCCCGCACAAGCCGGUGGGAAGCA
rnacentral:rRNA from 1 species